rfam:Punica granatum cultivar Dabenzi scaffold130, whole genome shotgun sequence.
AUCCCAGGCAAGAAUGUGAUAAUGUGUUUGUCUGAUUCAUGGGAGGCCUAAAGGAACUGUUGGGAGUUUCGCUGAUGACGCCCUGCUCACUCUGGAUCUCUUCGGGGCGUUUACUAGUAACUCUGCCACACAUCU